rnacentral:rRNA from 1 species
UAAGUAACCUGCCCUCAUGAGGGGGAUAACUAUUAGAAAUGAUAGCUAAGACCGCAUAGGUGAAGGGGUCGCAUGACCGCUUCAUUAAAUAUCCGUAUGGAUAGCAGGAGGAUGGACUUAUGGCGCAUUAGCUGGUUGGUGAGGUAACGGCUCACCAAGGCGACGAUGCGUAGCCGACCUGAGAGGGUGGACGGCCACACUGGGACUGAGACACGGCCCAGACUCCUACGGGAGGCAGCAUG